AUGAUCAAAUUUACAAAUUUUUAGAAAAUUUGAAAAUCAUUUGAUAUUUCGUUUCAUUAAUUCAAAUCAAUGUAUAAAAUAAUUUUAUGAUUAUCCAUCAAUUUAAAUUAAUGAAAUGAAGUAUCAAAUGAUUUCAAAUUUUUUAAAAAUUUGAAGAUUUGAUCUA
rnacentral:miRNA from 1 species